GGAAUUGUUCACAAUGGGCGCAAGCCUGAUGACGCAACGCCGCGUGGAGGAUGAAGGUCUUCGGAUUGUAAACUCCUGUUGCCCGGGACGAAUGGCUUCAACCUAAUCCGUGGAAGUGUGACGGUACCGGGUGAGGAAGCCCCGGCUAACUCUGUGCCAGCAGCCGCGGUAAUACAGAGGGGGCAAGCGUUGUUCGGAAUGACUGGGCGUAAAGGGCGCGUAGGCGGCCCGCUAAGUCGUACGUGAAAUCCCCGAGCUCAACUCGGGAACUGCGUCCGAUACUGGUGGGCUUGAAUCCGGGAGAGGGAUGCGGAAUUCCAGGUGUAGCGGUGAAAUGCGUAGAUAUCUGGAGGAACACCGGUGGCGAAGGCGGCAUCCUGGACCGGCAUUGACGCUGAGGCGCGAAAGCUAGGGGAGCAAACG
rnacentral:rRNA from 1 species